AAAUUUAAUAAAAAGAAAUUUUUAGUAUUCAUCAAACACUAUUUUCAUACAAACGUGCAGCACAACUUGUACGAGAAAAAGCUGUAAAAAAAAGGGUAUCCCAUAUCAAUGAAAAUGAUGUUAACAUUCAUGCAUUGAUCAUCGGUUUUAUACGCAUUCACUGUAGUUUUCUGAUGUGACCUCCAGCGACUCUUUCCUGUUUUCAGACCUCAAGAUUGCGGGAAAGCAAUUAUCGAGACAAAACGUACUACAAAAACGUUAUCGAAAAGUUGAAAGAUCGCCAUAAUCGGUGUAUCGGCCUCGCACCUAUGUCGAAUAAUAAGUGUUGGCAAAAAAAGGCUUUGGCUUCAAACCGAUAUUAAUUUUUUAGCCUGCAUGUUUUAAGACAACUCGUAGUGUUAGAAAUACCAUAUUUCUAUAUCAUAAGAAUACAUGUAUGCUGCUGACAUCUGCUUUGUCGCAGAAAUUCAAACGAAGUUUUGGCACUGAGAGAGACAUAUCUGAACUGGUCUAAAAUAAAAGCAAUGAUCUCGUAUAAAACUGUUGAGGAAAUCUAGCAAUGGAUGCCUUGAACGCUGCGGCAAUGGCUACAAAAUUGUGAGUAUUGUGCAUCGCACAUAUUUUUGCUAAAUUUAGUUUCUCGCAUACAAAACAUACACAGAAGACUCUCAUCAUUGAGGGUUGUUGUCUUUUUUUUUGGGUGCUUCGAAUAUAUGGCCGGCUACCGAUUCAACUGCUGUGCUGGUGGGAAAAAUCGAAUCGGUGAAACGCAACAAAGACAGCAUCACCAAGUAAUGCUACAUAUGAACAUUUGGGAUGAAAAUAUAUAGUAAAGCAGGAUAAAACAUCUGAGAAAUCAUACAACACCGAUAAAUAUUGUACGUAACAAAGCAAAACACUGUGCGUGAAUUUGUAGGAAGAAGUGAGACGAGAUAAAUGAUGCUACAAGGAGAGUGAAAUAUUUGGUGGAUGAAAACAGAAGUCUGGUAAAAAGGU